GACGAACGCUGGCGGCGUGCCUAAUACAUGCAAGUAGAACGCUGAAGCGAGGAGCUUACUCUUCUUGGAUGAGUUGCGAACGGGUGAGUAACGCGUAGGUAACCUGCCUUGUAGCGGGGGAUAACUAUUGGAAACGAUAGCUAAUACCGCAUAACAAUGGAUGACACACGUCAUUUAUUUGAAAGGGGCAAUUGCUCCACUACAAGAUGGACCUGCGUUGUAUUAGCUAGUAGGUGAGGUAAUGGCUCACCUAGGCGACGAUACAUAGCCGACCUGAGAGGGUGAUCGGCCACACUGGGACUGAGACACGGCCCAGACUCCUACGGGAGGCAGCAGUAGGGAAUCUUCGGCAAUGGGGGCAACCCUGACCGAGCAACGCCGCGUGAGUGAAGAAGGUUUUCGGAUCGUAAAGCUCUGUUGUAAGUCAAGAACGGGUGUGAGAGUGGAAAGUUCACACUGUGACAGUAGCUUACCAGAAAGGGACGGCUAACUACGUG
rnacentral:rRNA from 1 species